UUUGUCCUGGGUUUUUCAGCACCACAAGCACAGCGCAGCUGCUCAGCUGUGUCUGGGACAUCAGGGCCAAGAGCAAGUGGCUGGUUCUAUGCUCAGUGUUCAGAAGCCAGUGAGCACGAAGGAUGGCUGCAGCCUGACCUAG
ensembl:snoRNA